UUUAUGGAGAGUUUGAUCCUGGCUCAGGAUGAACGCUGGCGGCGUGCCUAAUACAUGCAAGUCGAGCGAACGGACGAGAAGCUUGCUUCUCUGAUGUUAGCGGCGGACGGGUGAGUAACACGUGGAUAACCUACCUAUAAGACUGGGAUAACUUCGGGAAACCGGAGCUAAUACCGGAUAAUAUUUUGAACCGCAUGGUUCAAAAGUGAAAGACGGUCUUGCUGUCACUUAUAGAUGGAUCCGCGCUGCAUUAGCUAGUUGGUAAGGUAACGGCUUACCAAGGCAACGAUGCAUAGCCGACCUGAGAGGGUGAUCGGCCACACUGGAACUGAGACACGGUCCAGACUCCUACGGGAGGCAGCAGUAGGGAAUCUUCCGCAAUGGGCGAAAGCCUGACGGAGCAACGCCGCGUGAGUGAUGAAGGUCUUCGGAUCGUAAAACUCUGUUAUUAGGGAAGAACAUAUGUGUAAGUAACUGUGCACAUCUUGACGGUACCUAAUCAGAAAGCCACGGCUAACUACGUGCCAGCAGCCGCGGUAAUACGUAGGUGGCAAGCGUUAUCCGGAAUUAUUGGGCGUAAAGCGCGCGUAGGCGGUUUUUUAAGUCUGAUGUGAAAGCCCACGGCUCAACCGUGGAGGGUCAUUGGAAACUGGAA
rnacentral:rRNA from 1 species